rnacentral:lncRNA from 1 species
AUGAGCACGCUGAGCCUUCGAGGGCAGACGCCGCGCAGCGUGGAGCUGAGGUGUGGGGGGCCGGAGGGGGCGAUGAAGCACCAACAGCGGGGUGCUCCGGCCCUCACCCACCCGCAGCGCCAGGGCACUGGGGCACACGGCAGAGCCUGCGACACCUCUCCCGAUGCCUUUGACAUCUCCAGGAUGGCUGCUCAGGGUCGGGCUCUGGUUGGGGAGGCUCAGGGCGCUCCGCUCUCCCAUGGUGCAGAGCCGGCGGGACGUGGCUCCUGGAGGCAGCGUCGGGGCGACGGGAGCAGCUCCAGCUCUGUCUGCACCGAGGACUUGGCUGCCGCAUUUUGGGAGGGCAUGGUGGAGCCCGCAGUGUUCUCCGAGGGGGAGGAGGACGAGGCCCUCUCUUUCCCUACCGAGGACGAUGGCGAUGGGCAGGAUGCGUCCCUCUCCCUGGGACCAGGCUGUCCCUGGCGGGACACAUCCCCAUGGCUGACGAGGAGGGAGAGCCUGGAGUCCCUGGGAGUGAGGAUUUCCAGGCUGAGCCAGAUCAGUGCUGGGACAGCCCGAGGGGGUCCCUGCCCUGCCCCCUCCGAGGGGGACACGGGGCAUCCCUGGAGACCCCCAGGCAGCUCGGCCAGCAGGAGCGGGGCCGGGACCGGGGGACACCCCAGGACCAAGCCCACGGAGACCAGACAUCAGCAGCCAGCAGCUGUCCGGGGGUGGCAAGGAGGAGACGCCGCCCUCACAGUGGAGAAGGAAGGAGGUGGCAGCAGGCAGAGGGGAGCUCGCUGCUCGUCUCACCGUACUGAGGCAGCAGCGGGACCCUCCGGCAGAUGCAGCCCCCACUCCAGGGUGCUGAGCUUCGUGUCCUGCCCAGGCGGAGUGACCCAGCCCCAGUGGCAGCGCGGGAGGCUGGCAGCUGUCCUGUCCCACAAGCUGGUGUCGCUGCGCGGGGCCCUGCGGAGGAGCCAGGAGAGGACGCAAGAGCUGGGAGCUGGUGCUCAGGGGACCUGGAGAGAAAGGGAGAGAGGCAGCAGGGCUGGCUGGGCGCCGCUGGCAUGGACACAGGACCAGCUGGACCUGGAGAAUGUGGUGGGCACCCCAAGUUGGGUAAAGCAGGGUGGGGGCUGGGGGGGCUCUGGGUGA